ensembl:lncRNA C10orf95-AS1 C10orf95 antisense RNA 1
GUAGAGACAGGGUUUCGCCAUGUUGCCUAGGCUGGUCUCCAACCUGGUCUCCUGGGCUCAAGCGAUCCGCCCGCCUCGGCCUCCCACAGUGCUGGGAUUCCAGGCGUGAGCUACCGCGCCCGGCCUAUUUACUUUUCUUACUAAGCUGGGGAUCACCGUCGCCCUCGGCUUGGCAGGAAGGCGGGGGUAGGGGAGCGGUGGGAAAGGGGGGUGGGCGACGACUCUGAUAGAGGGAAAAGAGGAAGGGAAAGUUGGGGCUUACUGCAGGGCAAGCUCCUUAGGAGAAGGUGGGGAGGAGGAAGGAGGGAGGUCCAGGCCCUUCUUCCAUCCCACGUCCUCCACUUCCCAAGGUGCAAGAAGAAAAGAGGUACAGAACACCCAGAGGUGCCCUCGAUUCCGUCUUGCACUUGCCCUUCUCCCACCGUCCAGCAAUAAAGCGAGAGAAACAAGUGCAGGAAACUGGCCGGCAGUCAUGGGAGAAGCCAAAAAGACAGGAGUUCAGUGGCAUGACCAGGGCUCACUGCAACCUUGAUCUGGGCUCAAGUGAUCCUCCUACCUCAGCUUCCUGAGUAGCUAGGACCACAGGUGUGCACCAACCACACCCGACUAAUUUUUGUAGAGAUGAGAUCCCACUAUGUUACCCAGGCUGGUCUUGAACUCCUGGGCUCAGGUGAUCAUCCUGCCUUGGCUUCCCAAAGUACUGGGAUUAUAGGCUUGAGCCACCGUGCCUGGCCUGUGAUCAGAAUUCUCAUUUUUUUAGUCACUAAAAAUGCUGGGGGGCACUCCAUUCUCCAUUAUGUGAUUAGUUCACAUUGCAUGCUUGUAUCAAAACAUCAUAUAUACCCCACAAAUAUAUACAAAAAACUUUAAAAUUUUAAGUAUUAAUUGCUCAGGAAAAAAUUAAAAUGCUGGGGUGCUGAAAUCUCAAGGGCCCCAUUACAAAACUCCUUAGGAACCUCGCCCUCUCUCUGCUGUAAGGACUGGUUCCAGAAUGAGAGAAUUUAAAAGACAUUCCCCCCCCAAAAUGUUCAUAAUGUCACCCCGGAAACCUGCGAAUAUGUUAUAUUACAUGACCAGGGAGAAGUAAGGUUGCAGAUGGCAGUAAGGUUGCUAAUGGGCUGACCUUAAGAUAAGGAGAUGAUCCUGGAUUAUCUGGGUGGACCCAAUGUAAUCACAAGGGUCCUUAACUGUGGAAUAGUGAGGUGGCUGAGUCAGAGGCAGAGUGAUGCAAUGACUGAAAGACUUAACCAGCCAUCACCGGCUUUGAAUACGGAAGACGGUCAUGAGCCAGGGAAUGCAGGCAGGCUCUGGGAGCUGAAAAAAGCAAGAAAAUGGAUUCUCCCCUGGAGCCUCCAGAAGGGAUGCGGUCCUGCCAACCCCUUGUCAGUGAGCCAUUUCAGAUUUCUGACUUCCAGGACUGUAAGAAAAUAAACUUGUCUUGUUUUCAGCCACCAA